GACGAACGCUGGCGGCGUGCUUAACACAUGCAAGUCGAACGGAAAGGCCCUGCUUUUGUGGGGUGCUCGAGUGGCGAACGGGUGAGUAACACGUGAGUAACCUGCCCUUGACUUUGGGAUAACUUCAGGAAACUGGGGCUAAUACCGGAUAGGAGCUCCUGCUGCAUGGUGGGGGUUGGAAAGUUUCGGCGGUUGGGGAUGGACUCGCGGCUUAUCAGCUUGUUGGUGGGGUAGUGGCUUACCAAGGCUUUGACGGGUAGCCGGCCUGAGAGGGUGACCGGCCACAUUGGGACUGAGAUACGGCCCGGACUCCUACGGGAGGCAGCAGUGGGGAAUAUUGCACAAUGGGCGGAAGCCUGAUGCAGCAACGCCGCGUGCGGGAUGACGGCCUUCGGGUUGUAAACCGCUUUCGCCUGUGACGAAGCGUGAGUGACGGUAAUGGGUAAAGAAGCACCGGCUAACUACGUGCCAGCAGCCGCGGUGAUACGUAGGGUGCGAGCGUUGUCCGGAUUUAUUGGGCGUAAAGGGCUCGUAGGUGGUUGAUCGCGUCGGAAGUGUAAUCUUGGGGCUUAACCCUGAGCGUGCUUUCGAUACGGGUUGACUUGAGGAAGGUAGGGGAGAAUGGAAUUCCUGGUGGAGCGGUGGAAUGCGCAGAUAUCAGGAGGAACACCAGUGGCGAAGGCGGUUCUCUGGGCCUUUCCUGACGCUGAGGAGCGAAAGCGUGGGGAGCGAACAGGCUUAGAUACCCUGGUAGUCCACGCUGUAAACGGUGGGUACUAGGUGUGGGGUCCAUUCCACGGGUUCCGUGCCGUAGCUAACGCUUUAAGUACCCCGCCUGGGGAGUACGGCCGCAAGGCUAAAACUCAAAGGAAUUGACGGGGCCCCGCACAAGCGGCGGAGCAUGCGGAUUAAUUCGAUGCAACGCGUAGAACCUUACCUGGGUUUGACAUGGAUCGGGAGUGCUCAGAGAUGGGUGUGCCUCUUUUGGGGUCGGUUCACAGGUGGUGCAUGCCUGUCGUCAGCUCGUGUCGUGAGAUGUUGGGUUAAGUCCCGCAACGAGCGCAACCCUUGUUCACUGUUGCCAGCACGUUAUGGUGGGGACUCAGUGGAGACCGCCGGGGUCAACUCGGAGGAAGGUGGGGAUGACGUCAAGUCAUCAUGCCCCUUAUGUCCAGGGCUUCACGCAUGCUACAAUGGCUGGUACAGAGAGUGGCGAGCCUGUGAGGGUGAGCGAAUCUCGGAAAGCCGGUCUCAGUUCGGAUUGGGGUCUGCAACUCGACCUCAUGAAGUCGGAGUCGCUAGUAAUCGCAGAUCAGCAACGCUGCGGUGAAUACGUUCCCGGGGCU
rnacentral:rRNA from 1 species